rnacentral:rRNA from 1 species
GACGAACGCUGGCGGCGUGCCUAAUACAUGCAAGUUGAGCGAUGAAGAUUGGUGCUUGCACCAAUUUGAAGAGCAGCGAACGGGUGAGUAACGCGUGGGGAAUCUGCCUUUGAGCGGGGGGCAACAUUUGGAAACGAAUGCUAAUACCGCAUAACAACUUUAAACAUAAGUUUUAAGUUUGAAAGAUGCAAUUGCAUCACUCAAAGAUGAUCCCGCGUUGUAUUAGCUAGUUGGUGAGGUAAAGGCUCACCAAGGCGAUGAUACAUAGCCGACCUGAGAGGGUGAUCGGCCACAUUGGGACUGAGACCCGGCCCAAACUCCUACGGGAGGCCGCAGUAGGGAAUCUUCGGCAAUGGACGAAAGUCUGACCGAGCAACGCCGCGUGAGUGAAGAAGGUUUUCGGAUCGUAAAACUCUGUUGGUAGAGAAGAACGUUGGUGAGAGUGGAAAGCUCAUCAAGUGACGGUAACUACCCAGAAAGGGACGGCUAACUACGUG